UACAGAGGGGGCAAGCGUUGUUCGGAAUUACUGGGCGUAAAGGGCGCGUAGGCGGCCUGUUAAGUCGAACGUGAAAUCCCCGGGCUCAACCCGGGAACUGCGUCCGAUACUGGCAGGCUUGAAUCCGGGAGAGGGAUGCGGAAUUCCAGGUGUAGCGGUGAAAUGCGCAGAUAUCAGGAGGAACACCGAUGGCGAAGGCAGGUCUCUGGGCCACUACUGACGCUGAGGAGCGAAAGCGUGGGGAGCGAACAGG
rnacentral:rRNA from 1 species